UAGGGAAUAUUAGAAAUGGACGAAAGUCUGAUCUAGCAACACCGCGUGUGCGAAGAGGGCCUUCGGGUUGUAAAGCACUUUUUGGAAGGAUUAGGAAGGAAUGUACUUCCAGAAUAAGUCUCGGCUAACUACGUACCAGCAGCCGCGGUAGCACGUAGGAGGCAAACGUUAUCCGGAUUUACUGGGCGUAAAGCGCGUGUAGGUGGUUCUGUAAGUAGGGCGUGAAAGCUCCUGGCUCAACUGGGAGAGGCCGUUCUAAACUGCAGAGCUAGAGGAUGGUAGAGGGAGGUGGAAUUCCGGGUGUAGCGGUGGAAUGCGCAGAUAUCCGGAGGAACACCAGUGGCGAAAGCGGCCUCCUGGACCAUUCCUGACACUCAGACGCGAAAGCUAGGGUAGCAAACG
rnacentral:rRNA from 1 species